rnacentral:rRNA from 1 species
AUUGAACGCUGGCGGCGUGCUUAACACAUGCAAGUCGAGCGGUAACAGGCGUAGCAAUACGUGCUGACGAGCGGCGAACGGGUGCGUAAUACAUCGGAAUCUGCCUAGUAGUGGGGAAUAACCCGGCGAAAGCCGGGCUAAUGCCGCAUACGAUCCACGGAUGAAAGCGGGGGACUUUCGGGCCUCGCGCUAUUAGAUGAGCCGAUGCCGGAUUAGCUAGUUGGGAGGUAACGGCUCACCAAGGCGACGAUCCGUAGCUGGUCUGAGAGGACGGCCAGCCACACCGGAACUGAGACACGGUCCGGACUCCUACGGGAGGCAGCAGUGGGGAAUAUUGGACAAUGGGGGCAACCCUGAUCCAGCGACGCCGCGUGGGUGAAGAAGGCCUGCGGGGUUGUAAAGCCCUUUCGGUGGGGAAGAAAAGUCUCGACCUAAUACGUCGGGACCUUGACGUAACCCACUAAAGAAGCACCGGCUAACUCUGUGCCAGCCG